rnacentral:lncRNA from 1 species
ACGUUACGGGUCCCGUAAUUUGAGCACAAGGAUACAGGUGAACAUUUACGGGUGAAGACCCAGUGAUUACGGGUGGAUUUUACGCGGUGCUGGAGGUUAAUUACGGGCGCAUGUAACCAAUUACACGCAAAAUUACGGGUGAAGACCCAGUGAUUACAGGUGGAUUUUACGUGGUGCUGGAGGUUAAUUACGGGCGCAUGUAACCAAUUACACGCAAAAUUACGGGUGAAGACCCAGUGAUUACGGGUGGAUUUUACGCGGUGCUGGAGGUGAAUUACGGGCGCAUGUAACCAAUUACACGCGAAAUUACGGGUGAAGACCCAGUGAUUACGGGUGGAUUUUACGCGGUGCUGGAGGUGAAUUACGGGCGCAUGUAACCAAUUACACGCAAAAUUACGGGUGAAGACCCAGUGAUUACGGGUGGAUUUUACGCGGUGCUGGAGGUGAAUUACGGGCGCAUGUAACCAAUUACACGCAAAAUUACGGGUGCAGACCCAGUGAUUACGGGUGGAUUUUACGCGGUGCUGGAGGUGAAUUACGGGCGCAUGUAACCAAUUACACGCAAAAUUACGGGUGAAGACCCAGUGAUUACGGGUUACACAGGCAGAUAUUACUCUGCGAUGUGACGCUUACUGCAUGUUAAAUUAACGAUUGGUGAAUACUUGCGGCAAGCCUCAAAAUGGACGCACACCCCUUGUCAAAGUAGCUUAAGUCUCAGUGUGCUUGUGGACCAAGGCGCUUUGGACUCACAACGCCAACCAGCCAGCCUGACAGCCUGAUGCAUUCAUCUCAACCAUCGUCCUCGAAAACAGCGUUCAUGUCACCCCCCAUACAGCAAGUGCUCGCCAAGGAGUCUCACCACCACUUGCAGAGUUCAUGCCUACUCCUACGGAUGAAACCCCCGAUGCAUGACAUGUACCGGCACCUAUUGGGAUUGGUCUGUCCCAUCCUGCCUGGGGCCGACCUGGUGUGUGCACCCCCAAGCGCUCAUCACUGCUGCCAUGUUACUGCUCACUUCCACCACUGUCGCUGCUGCCACUGCCACUGCUGCUGCUGCUAGCUUCGCUAUAUUUGCCCGGGUCCUCCGAGCUGGACUCCUCCCCAGCGCCAGCGGCUAGGACCUCUUCCUCACCAGCAUCCGACCCACCCUCCAAGCUACCCUCCUCUGUCCGCCCCCUCCGCCCUCCCUUGCCUGCGCCGCCCUUCCCCG